AUUGAACGCUGGCGGCAGGCUUAACACAUGCAAGUCGAGCGGGGAAAGGUAGCUUGCUACCUGACCUAGCGGCGGACGGGUGAGUAAUGCUUAGGAAUCUGCCCAUUAGUGGGGGACAACAUCUCGAAAGGGAUGCUAAUACCGCAUACGUCCUACGGGAGAAAGCAGGGGACCUUCGGGCCUUGCGCUAAUAGAUGAGCCUAAGUCGGAUUAGCUAGUUGGUGGGGUAAAGGCCUACCAAGGCGACGAUCUGUAGCGGGUCUGAGAGGAUGAUCCGCCACACUGGGACGGAGACACGGCCCAGACUCCUACGGGAGGCAGCAGUGGGGAAUAUUGGACAAUGGGGGGAACCCUGAGCCAGCCAUGCCGCGUGUGUGAAGAAGGCCUUUUGGUUGUAAAGCACUUUAAGCGAGGAGGAGGCUACCGAGAUUAAUACUCUUGGAUAGUGGACGUUACUCGCAGAAUAAGCACCGGCUAACUCUGUG
rnacentral:rRNA from 1 species